AACGCACGAGACCUGCGGACCUGCGGAAGGAUCAUUACCGAGUGCGGGCCCUCGCGGCCCAACCUCCCACCCUUGUCUCUAUACACCUGUUGCUUUGGCGGGCCCACCGGGGCCACCUGGUCGCCGGGGGACGUCGUCUCCGGGCCCGCGCCCGCCGAAGCGCUCUGUGAACCCUGAUGAAGAUGGGCUGUCUGAGUACUAUGAAAAUUGUCAAAACUUUUAGCAACGGAUCUCUAGAUC
rnacentral:misc_RNA from 1 species